AUCUUAUCAAGAGAGGUUGAGGGACUGGCCCGAUGACGCCUCAGCAACCAGUCAUUUUUUGACCACGGUGCUAAUUCCAGCAGGUGAAAUACCUGAAAGAUAAGAA
rnacentral:ncRNA from 2 species